CCUAAACCCUAAAAGCCAUAAAACCCAAAUGUAAAAUCAGCGUCAAAAUCGCGUCCCCGGUACCGCGCUACGUGACAGGACAUCGCGUCCACGUCAGCGCGACCUGCUGACGUGGAAGGAAAUCGCGUUGCGCUGACGUAGACGCGAUGUCCUGUCACGUACCUUGACAUCGCACUGACGUGGACGCGAUUUCAGGAAAAUGGCCCAUUCCGGUAAAUAAUUAAAAAAUUGGCCCAUUUCGGUAAUUUUUAAAAAAAUUAGAUUUUUUUGGUAAAUUAGCCCAAAAACCAACCAGUUAUAUCAUAUUUAAAAGUGGACUAUAAAAUCUAUGCCCCAGUGGCACUGAAAUUCCAAGAGUAAAACGUUACUCCACUAAAAUGCAGCUUCAGAUUGAUAUUUCAAUUUGACUAAACUCCAAAAUUUUGACCGCGGAGUUCAAAGCUCCAAUGCCACGGGUACUUAUUUUUAUACCCUGUCAAUCCCUUUCUUUGUUAUUAUUUAUUUUAUUUUUAAUAUAAAAAUACUUUUUUAAUAUUUAGUGUAAUACUCAAAUUUUGCCCGGCCCGAGCCCAAGUAUAUAAACCAAAUCAAAAAAUUAACAACAGUCCAAUAGCAGUCCAUUUACAAUAACCAAUCGACCCAAUUAGGCUAAUCUCUAGCCCAAUCGUGUUAUAGGCCCAACAAACCCAAACCCUGAUAAGCCUAAAUAGCUUCCAAAAACCCCUAGGGUUUCUGGAACGGACCAAGCGCCGCAACUCCCUCAGCCCCAGCGCGAGCCACCACAACAGUAGCCUCACAUACACUGCCACGCACGCCUCCACGCCACGCGCCUCCGUACACUGUACCUACAAAGGAAACGAAGACAACGCAGCACAAAAAAGAACAAAAAAGGAAGAAAAGAAAAUAAAAAGAUAGCACAAAGAGAAAAUAGGAGAAAGAGAAAAAAGAUGGAUGUAGUUUCGGGGCUAUAAAACCCCAUUUUCUGUAUUGUUUCAUAUCUUUUUUUUUACACACAUCAGAAUAAAAAACCGAGCAAGAUCUUAAGAGGUUGAGAAUCCGAUUGUUUUUCCUUUUGGUUCUUCGUUUUCUGUUUUCUUUUUAUUUUUUUAUUCAUUUAUUUGUUUGUUCGUCUCUUUUAGAAAUCGAUUUUAACAAAAAAUCUAGAAUAAUAAGAAAAGAAAAGGAAAUACCUGGAAUCGCCGCAAGCCCCCAUCACCGGAGAUCUUCUUUGGUCACCGAAAAUCGGACCGAAAAGGGUGUGGGGUUCUCUUAUUUCGACUUUCGGGCCGAGAAGUCUCAUCCUACGAGCGGGGUCUGAUACAGGGUUAAAAACCCAUUUUUCUAGUGCUCCGGCCACCGCCUGCAGCGGACCCACGGAGGUGUAGACGACGGCCGAUUGUCGUGCCCAGAACCGAAAAAGAGGGUGUUGAGAGGAUCUAAGAGACCCUCUCUCUAUUUUUGCUGGAAAAUGAAAAUGGAAUGUUUUUUGUGUGUUUUUUUCUAUUUAUAUGCGGUCCAAUACGACGCCGUUUUUUGCUUAAGCAUAAAUGGCCAAACGAUGUCGUUUCACAUGUGACUCGAACACCCGACCCGAAUGCGGUCAGGAUCCGCGUGUUUUGGUGGGAGGGGCUAAUUGCAUGUUUAGCCCCUCCGCUUUUGUAACCUAAUGUAAUCUGAUUUUUGCUCAUCUUCGAUUUUGGCAACGAUUUUUUGCUGCGUGUUCAAUUCGGUCCUUAGACCAUACGCAGCCCCUUUGCUUAAACGCCACGUUUUGGGACUGAGGAAUAUUUCCCUGAAGGUCCCUCGCGCUUUGAGCGUUUCCAGUCCCCUGGCAAUCAUCUUUUAUUUAUUUGCGAUUCAAGCCCCAGAUUUUGUGUCCGUUUUCGAUUCAGUCCCUAGCCAGUUUAAUUAUUAUUUAUUUAUUUAUUUAUUCAUAAAAAAUAGUUUUAUUUAUUAUUUCAUUUAAUUGUUAUUUAUUUACUUAAUUUUUAUCAAACUUACAUUAGGUUUUAUUUUAUUUAUUUACUAUUUUAAACAUUGAUUUUGUUUAUUUUAAUUCUUGCCAUUAUUAUUGCAAUUUCAUUCUAUUAAUUAUUUAUUUUUUAUCUUCAAAUGUUUUCAAAUCUAGAUCCAUUAGGAUUGUAUUUGUUUUGUUAUUAUGUUAAUGUUAUUGUUAUUUGUUUCUUACCUUAUGAUUCAUGCAUUUCGAUUUAUUUGUAUCAAUGCUAUGUGUAUGUGUUAGGAUGCAUAUUAUGUUAUGGAUUUUAAAUGUAUGUUGUAUAUUCAUUAUAGGUCGUGUACGACAUCCUUUCCAUUUUAAGCAAUGUCUUUUCAAAUACAAUCAAAAUUGCACGCAUUUGGUUUUUAAAUACUCCAUUAAUUCGUACUCAAAAUUCAAAAGGGUAAAAUUUCAAAAUAAUAAAGGCAAUAUUCCGUAUUUAGAAAAUCCGAGGAAUCGUGUUCUAACUUACUGAGCUUCGAUUUUUCUCGCAUUGAUCCUAAAUAACCGAAUACCCUUUUAAAAUUAAAACAAAUGAGGUUUAAAUAAAAAACGAAAGGCAAACUUAUUCUCAAAAUACGAGAUGUCGGGUCCUAACUUACUGGAUGUGACAUUUUGUUACUUCGAGAUAAGGAGGCGUUUUCCAUUUUGAUUUAUUCAAAGUAGUUUUGAAAUAACGCAAUGUAAAAAAGGGAUUGUAUUUCUAAAUUCUUUUCGAGUUUUAAUUUUCGACACUAAGACAUUAAAUAAUCAACUAGGUACCAAUUUUGGGCGUAUCGAGGGUGCUAAUCCUUCCUCAUACGUAACCGACUUCCGAACCUAUUUUUCUAAAUUUCGCAGACCAAAAACGUUGUUUUAAUAAAUCUAAACCGUUUAUUAAAAACACCUAUUUUUCGAGGUGACCCGAUCACACUUUAAUAAAAGAUCGGUGGCGACUCCAUUUUCAAAAUCGAUUCCCAUUUUUGUUUUUCAAAAAAAAUGGUUUCGACAGCUUGGCGACUCCACUGGGGAAUAUUAGUGAGUCAGGCCGUAAAUUUUUUUUUUUGGUCGAAAAUUGAAAAUUGGAUUUGGAAAAUUAUGAUCCUCUCUUUGCAUUUGUUUGUAUGAUUACUGUAAAUUGAAUUUUAUAUCUUGGCAUCAUAUUGCAUAAAGGCUAGUUAGUCUUUCCAUUUUAAGUGGGAGUGAGAAGCUACUCCUUCGUGAGGUUUUCACCUCCGUGCAGGAUAGUGGAUCACUUUCGGGAUACAUCCGUACCUAUGUCUUCGUGAGAUUUUAAUCUCCGUGCAGCCAUAGGGAAAUGUAUUCCCCUGAAUCAAACUCGGUCUGUAUGAGCCUAUAAUGGGUGAAGAUCGAGGAAUCUGCUGGUUCGGGUACCUUAACUUUAGAGCCAAACUGCAUAUAGAAGACCUUAGGAACCCAUCCUAGGUAGAGCCACUCAAAAGCCCUAGUGGUACCCGACUAGGUACUUUUGUUUUCCUUGUUUGCUUCUGUUUUGUACUAACCUAUCUUGUUUUGUUUUGAUUAUGAUUUCAUUGCAUUUGCAUCUUAGAAAAGAGAUAUUGAUUCAAAUCCAAUUACUAAAUUAGAAAGCUUGUCAUGGAAUACGAAUUCCUUGAUAAAGUGGAAAACAAUACGGCUGUCUGAAUAUAUUCUGAGAAACACAAGAAGAACGAGGGAAGAGUUCGUGACCUUGCUUCGUAGCCUGAGGAUUCAAGGAGAUUGUUUAAGAGCCUUCGACGUUCCAAGAAGCUGACGAGCCUUAUGAAGAUGGGCAGAUGAUGGAUCGCGACCAAGAUCAAGAAAAGGAGCUAGCAGUGGCAUCUAUCGGCGAGAUUGUCUCAAGCAUGCAGAUAAAGAAAAGGAUCGAUGUUGUCUCUUGGAAUAUAAUGGAGAGGUCGUACAUGCAUCUGCUUUAUAUAAAGGAAUUUGCCUUCUAGUAAAGUUUUCUAAAUGUAAUCAGAAUCAAUGUCUCUUUAGGCAUUCAUUUCAUGCAUCUGCAUUACAAGACAUCAUAUGCAUUAAAGUUCAUUGAAAGAAUCUAAUUGAGUAAAUUUGUUUCAGUUAAUCUGGAAAACCAACCAACCAAACAUCCUUACGGUACUCGUCGCAAAACUAAGGAAAUGGAUCAAAUAUUAGAGAAAUUGGAGCAAAUGCAAAAGGAUAUGCAAGAACAGUUACAAGUACAAAUGCAAGAGUGGCUAGAUAAAAUCCAAGAAAACAUGAUGGAAAAAUUUAUCAAGGCUCAAAAAGAUGCGAUGGCUGAGUUGACCCAUCUACUGACUAAAGGAGUAAAUAAGGGGAAAGGUCCUAUGGUAAAUGAUGAAGAAGAAGACAAUGAUAGACCUACCUAUCCUCCAGGCUUUACGCCUUUGCAUGCGCAGGUUCAGACUGAGGUACCUUCGCGCAGAUCCUCUGUUUCAAUUGGGCCUCAGCGGUUUCAAAUCGAUGUUUCAAUACCGACAAAAUUUCUGGCCGGAUCAGUUCCUAACCCUGGUGGUAAUCCGGUUAAUCUUGCCGUCCCGGAUUUUGAUGAAACAGCUGAAGAAGGAAAGACGAACGCGGAAUUGCCAAAACAGUGAGAUGAUAGGUGCAAAUGGUUGGUGGAAAAGAUCAAAGCCCUGGAAAACAUCGAUAAUCACUAUGGAAUCGAUGCAAAAGAUCUGAGCUUGGUUCCAGACUUAGUACUCCCUCACAAGUUCAAGAUGUCUGAAUUUGAGAAGUAUAGUGGGACCAGUUACCUUGAAGCCCAUAUCACCAUGUUCUGUAGGAGAAUGACUGGGUAUAUUAACAAUGAUCAGCUAUUAAUACAUUUUUUUCCAGAUAGCCUCAUUGGAGCAGCGUCAAAAUGGUACAAUCAGUUGAGCUGUACCGAGAUUGGUUCAUGGAGGGACCUAGCACAGGCAUUCAUGAAAUAAUACAGUCAUGUGACAGAUAUGGUUCCUGAUAGAAUCACUUUGCAAAACAUGGAAAAGAAGCCAAGCAAAAGUUUUAGGUAGUAUGCACAGAGGUGGAGGGAGGUUGCAGUCCAGGUUCAGCCACCCCUCUUGGAGAAAGAGACGAUAAUGCUCUUCAUUAAUACACUGAAGGCCCCGUUCAUCACGCAUAUGUUAGGAAGUGCAACAAAAAGCUUUUCUGACAUAGUUAUGAAUGGUGAAAUGAUUGAGAAUGCUAUAAGAAUCGAAAAAAUUGAGGCGGAAGAGAGUAAUAAGAGGUCAACCCCAAGGAGAAGAGAAAAUGAGGUGAACAACACAGGUUACUCUAAACCAGUUGCUGUGAGUCAACCAGGAUAGGUGGCUGAUAAUCAACAAAAUUCAUCAAGGUAAGAAUCUGGAGUGAAACCAAGUACUGAGAAGCUCUAGUUCACACCAAUUCCAAUGUCGUAUACGAAGCUAUAUCAACGCUUAUUCGAUGCGCAUAGUGUUGCCCUUUUCUACUCAAAGCCCCUACAACCUCUGACCCCUAGUGGUAUGAUGCGAAUGCACAGUGUGAUUAUCAUGCGGGAAUUGGGGGACAUUCGAUAGAAAAUUGCACCAUCUUUAAAAAGCUUGUUGAAAGGCUCAUUAACAUGGGUGUUGUCAAGUUUAAUGACUCUAGUGCAGAAAAUUUGUUACCCAAUCAUAAUUGAUGAUGGAGUGAAUGUAAUGCAUGAAGAAGAGUGGGAAAUGUUCACAUCGACGAAAAGCAACUGAAAAAGGGACCUUGUUAGAUAUCCGCCCUUAUAAAUUUGGGAGUGCUCUAAGCAAUUAAGACUGCGGAAGAAAUCCCUGUAGUUUUUAAAGCUUAUUUAGAGUAAUGUUCAGAACAUUUUUGUUGUUUUAGCCUAAAAAUGAUAGAAAUUCCUUUGUGAAAUAGGCUCAUGUCUGAACGUUAUUAUUUUAAUGAAAUACAUCUUUGCAAUUAUUGCUGAGUCAAUAUUUUCAUUCUUUACGAAAAAUUUGAGAUUCUUUCAUUCUUUUGGAUUUUCUUCCAAAUUAUUAUUCAUUCAUUCAUAAUCACAUGGUACAAAUAAUUAUUCAUGAAUUUAUACAUUCUUUUGUACAUUCUUCGUUACUUAUUAUGGGUCCCCAGAUAUCAAUUACAUGAAUGACUCUGCUACAGACCCAGAUUUUCCUUUUGAGCGAGGCAUGUGUUUAGAGGGAUUUCAUGACUUUGAAAAUGACAUGGAUUGUAACCUAUCUUCUAACUUGUUGAGGAUGGUAGAGAGGAAAUUUUACCCUACAAGGAGAUAAUAGAGAUGGUAACCUCAAAGAAACGUGCAUAGCUGGAGAAACAAAGUAGGACCCUGUUGAGUUACCUCUAGAGUUCAAAGAUGUCUUUGUAUGGUCAUACCAGGUGUGCCUGGGUUAAUCGCUAGUAAUGAAACCUGCACAAUAGCACGAUGUCAGAAAUUUGCAAUAUGAAUGAUGCAAUUCUUUACCGGGGCAAUGCCUUUCUCGUUGAGUCAGCAUAGCUUUGCCCAUUUGAAGUCGAGUUUCCAUCCCUUCAAGAUGUUUUCUGUUAUAGUUGCGCCCCAAAAGGCUCUAUGAAAGAAAUCUGAUACUAAAGAAGGUUUUUCGCAUACAAGAUGAAAGUGAAAGAUCUCAGGAGGAGGACUUUAUCUAUAAAAACAUUGAUUCUGGUCGAAGGAGGAUAACAAGGACUUGCCUAAUCCUAUGAGUUCAGAGUAAAAAAAAAUCAAAAUCAAAAACAAAAAGAAAAAGAAAAAAAAAGAAAAAUCAAAGUCAAAAGAAAAAAAGAAAAAUUAAUCAAAGUCAAAAUAAAAGUAUGAAAAAGAAAAGGAGAGGCCAAGGCGAAAACCCGCAAAGGGCGCUUUGUGACCAAAGGUGGUUUUGAGUUGAAAACCCGAAAAGGGCGACUCAAAUUUUGAGCAAAAUGGGGCAUGACCGUCAUCAUCAUUGAAGGUUUCUAAUGGGCAUUGCUUCAUGUUUGAGAUCAUUAGUUACUUUGUCAAACGGGUAGAGGCUGCUUCAUGCGUCAAUGUCAUUAUAUGCCGGUAUAGAAUUACAGAGAAGACGAUAUCAUGAAUGUUAGUAUGAUAGCUGAGGUCUGUGAUCAAUUCAAAAUCAGAUACCAUAGUUCAUCACUGUAUGGAAUUACGAAAAAAUGACUGAGACUUACAAUGACCGGCAUGAGAAAUUACCAUUUGCCUUCCUUGCUUGUCGAACAUCUGUACUGGGGCAACACCUCUCUCUUUGGUUUACAGGAUUGAGUAGUUUUACCUAUUGAAAUCCCUUCUCUCCAGGUAUUAGUUGAGCUAGAGUUGGAUGAAGCAGAAUGGAUCCAAUCGCGAUGUGAUCAGUUGGACCUAGGAAAAGGGUUAAAAGCUAUUCAUUAGGGUCGGAUGUACCAGAUGAUACGAGCCCAUAAUAAAUAAGGUCGUCUCAAAGAAUCCCACGAGAGGGUCGGGUGUUGGAAAAGAUCCUUCAUCUACAAAAAGAUUUUAGAGGAAAAUGAAUGCCAAAUCGGGAAUGUCCCUAUGUUGUAAAGAAGACCUUUUUCAGAGGAGCACUGAUACUGAGUGAGAUUUCUAAUCCUAUAAACUUGGAUCCAGUCAAGAAACACUUCAUUUAAAGAAGAAGAGAGGACCAAGGUAAAAACCCGUAAAGGGCACUUUUAGUCAAAAAAAUGAAAAAAUGAAAAAUGAAAAAUGAACAAGUAAAAUGGAGAGGCUAAGGGGAAAACCCGCAAAUGGCACCUUAGGCCAAAGGGGAUUUGAGUUGAAAACCUAAAAAGGGCAGCUCAAAUAUUGAUCAGAAUGGGUCAUGAAGUGAUCAGAGCAACUCGUAUCUUGAUCAGAUUGGGGCAUAUGGUAAUCUUGUUAUGCCUAAAUCAAUAGGAAAGGAUAGGUGACAUCUUGGGGCAUCGACAAAGUACUGUAGAUCUCCUGAACACAUGUCAAACUCAAAAUGGUCUUCAGAAAGUUUAUACAGAGAAGUUCAAGCUGCGAUAUCUGGGGCACCCAAUUCUCAUAUUAUUUAUAUUGAAUUUUCUGUUCUUGGAAUACUUCAUUCUCUUCCAGAACACACAUUCCCAAUCAAUUUCUUCGUUAUUCUUCUGUACUAUUUUUGAUAAUUUGUUUCUUCGAGCUAUGCUCAAAACCAACUUCAUUCUUAUCCAUUGUUAUGAUCCCUUUUGCAAGCAUGUUGCAUUGGAAUAAUGAUUAAUGGACUAAUAAAACUUUCACAAGGGAAGUUUUGCAUAUUACUCUAGAAGUUUCUAAAUAAUACAGGAGCCUGAAACGGAACUAUUAUUUAGAAUGCACCAAGUUUAAAGGUUGGAAAUUUGAGAAGAAAGAGUCUAAAUUUGGACUUUCUUUUUGGAUUUUGUUGUCAAAUGCAUUGAUUGACAAGAUGCCAUGUUGGUGACAAAGCUUAAAUAAACAAGCAAGCAAUUAUCAUCAGGCAAUUAUUAUCAGGCAAGAGGAAUAGGUUACCUCGAAGAAGAGAGCCUUCAUCUGCGCAUAAGUCUUUGGUACGACACCUUGGGAAUGGUGUAAGGAACUAGAAAGAUUAAGAUCCUAUGUCCUUGAAUUGUGAUAAAAGAGGAUUGAGGAAAAGUCAUAUUUCUACCAUUGGAUUACGGUGAGAGACUGAUAGUACAAAUUUUGUGCCCCAGUGGAUAUAACUUCGAGGUUUACAGUGGGGGUAACCUGGCUAAAUGUUUCUUCAGAAAAUGCCAGUCGAGAAGGAAGGUGUUAUAGCACUUCAGUGACAAAGCCUUAAUAAACUUCGAGCAAUGACAACCUAAGCAGGAUCAUUCUCGAAAAAAAUAAAAUUCUGCAUUCAUGCAAACACCAUUCACACAUGUCUAGUUAGGAGCAUUUGAUUUAUUUUGAUCAUGCCAUCCUAAUCAUUAGGCAUAAUUAGGUUCAUUAUACAGGUCAUGUUCCCCAGAGAAUAGAUCAGUGAAUAUAACAGAUCUUGUCUCUCUAAGCAGUAGUGGAGUAGAUCAAAGACGGCGAAUCUUAUCUUCAAGUGUAAGGAAACAGAUUUAAGCCACAAGUCCUAUGUCCCUGGUCAGCAGUGGAAUAGGUUGGAAAUUACAGAUCUUGUCUCCCUAAGCAGUAGCAGAGCAGAUUGAAGACGGCGAAUCUUAAAUUCAAGUGUAAGGAAGCAGAUUUAAGCCACAAGUCCUAUCUCCCUGAGGUUACAGUGGAGUAGAUUGAAGAUGAUAAUCUUAUCUCCCUGAAGUUGCAGUGGAGCAGAUUGAGAAAACAAGUCUUAUCCUCCUGAAGUCGCAGUGAGGCAGACCAAAGAAGCAAAUCUUAUCUCCCUGAGGUUGCAGUGGAGUAGAUUGAAGACGAUAAUCUUAUCUCCCUGAGGUUGCAGUGAAGCAGACUGAGAAUAGCAAAUCUUACUUUCCUGGCAAUGCAAUGGAACAAGAUUAACGCCACAACAGCGAACCUUGCUUCCCCGAUAUUGCAGUUAAAAAGAUUAAACCUACCACAACGAAUCGUACUUCUCAAGCGGUGCAGUGGAACAGAUUAACGCCACAACGGUGAACCUUGCUUCCCCGACAUUGCAGUUAAAAAGAUUAAAGCUACAACAGCGAAUCUUACUUCUCUGGUAGUGCAGUGGAACAGAUUAACGCCACAACGGCAAACCUUGCUUCCCCGACAUUGCAGUUAAAAAGAUUAAAGCUACAACAACAAAUCUUACUUCCCUGGUGGUGCAGUGGAACAGAUUAACGCCACAAUGGCGAACCUUGCUUCCCCGACAUUGCAGUUAAAAAGAUUAAAGCUACAACAGCGAAUCUUACUUCCCAGGCGGUGUAGUGGAACAGAUUAACGCCACAACAGUGAAUUUUACUUCCCCGACAUUGUAGUUAAAAAUAUUAAAGCUACAACAGUGAAUCUUACUUCCCAGGCGGUGUAGUGGAACAGAUUAAAGCCACAUCGAAGUAUCUUACUUCCCCGACAUUGCAAUUAAAAGGAUUAAAGCUACAACAGCGAAUCUUGCUUCCUCGACAUCAUAGUUAAACAGAUUAAAGUUACGAGUUACAAAUCCUAUCUCCCCGACGUCGCGAUGGAGCGGAUCGAGACAUCAAUUCCUAUACCUCUGAAGAUGCAGUGGGAUGAAAUGGAGCUACUUGAAGAAAAGGAGCACCAAGGUCCAGCACGACCGGGAAAAAUUGACCAUUUUUGGAGUCUUUGCUCCGUUCCUGUUACACGACAACGAGCAAAGAGGUGCAGCUGUAAUACCCAAAUUUUACCCGGCCCGAGCCCAAGUAUAUAAACCAAAUAAAAAAAUUAACAACAGUCCAAUAGCAGUCCAUUUACAAUAACCAAUCGACCCAAUUAGCCUAAUCCCUAGCCCAAUUGUGUUAUAGGCCCAACAAACCCAAACCUUGAUAGGCCUAAAUAGCUUCCAAAAAACUCUAGGGUUUUUGGAACGGACCAAGCGCCGCAACUCCCUCAACCCCAGCGCGAGCCACCACAACAGUAGCCUCACAUACACUGCCACGUACGCCUCCACG
rnacentral:lncRNA from 1 species